AUUGAACGCUGGCGGCAGGCCUAACACAUGCAAGUCGAGCGGAUGAAGAGAGCUUGCUCUCUGAUUUAGCGGCGGACGGGUGAGUAAUGCCUAGGAAUCUGCCUGGUAGUGGGGGAUAACGUUCCGAAAGGAACGCUAAUACCGCAUACGUCCUACGGGAGAAAGCAGGGGACCUUCGGGCCUUGCGCUAUCUGAUGAGCCUAGGUCGGAUUAGCUAGUUGGUGAGGUAAUGGGUCACCAAGGCGACGAUCCGUAACUGGUCUGAGAGGAUGAUCAGUCACACUGGAACUGAGACACGGUCCAGACUCCUACGGGAGGCAGCAGUGGGGAAUAUUGGACAAUGGGCGAAAGCCUGAUCCAGCCAUGCCGCGUGUGUGAAGAAGGUCUUCGGAUUGUAAAGCACUUUAAGUUGGGAGGAAGGGCAGUAAGUUAAUACCUUGCUGUUUUGACGUUACCGACAGAAUAAGCACCGGCUAACUUCGUGCCAGCAGCCGCAGUAACAC
rnacentral:rRNA from 1 species